UUGGUCGUAGAAAGGAGAGGUGGUUGGCAUCUCCCUCGACAAGGACGGUAACAGUCUUUGGACUUUCCUUUCACAAACCCACACGGAACACAACUCUUGUAGUGUCUCACCAGAUCGAUUCCCAGGCCUUUC
rnacentral:ncRNA from 1 species